GAUGAACGCUGGCGGCGUGCCUAAUACAUGCAAGUCGAGCGAACGGACGAGAAGCUUGCUUCUCUGAUGUUAGCGGCGGACGGGUGAGUAACACGUGGAUAACCUACCUCUUAGACUGGGAUAACUUCGGGAAACCGGAGCUAAUACUGGAUAAUAUUUUGAACCGCAUGGUUCAAAAGUGAAAGACGGUUUUGCUGUCACUUAUAGAUGGUUCCGCGCUGCAUUAGCUAGUUGGUAAGGUAACGGCUUACCAAGGCAACGAUGCGUAGCCGACCUGAGAGGGUGAUCGGCCACACUGGAACUGAGACACGGUCCAGACUCCUACGGGAGGCAGCAGUAGGGAAUCUUCCGCAAUGGGCGAAAGCCUGACGGAGCAACGCCGCGUGAGUGAUGAAGGUCUUCGGAUCGUAAAACUCUGUUAUUAGGGAAGAACAUAUGUGUAAGUAACUGUGCACAUCUUGACGGUACCUAAUCAGAAAGCCACGGCUAACUACGUG
rnacentral:rRNA from 1 species